rnacentral:rRNA from 1 species
UACGUAGGGCGCAAGCGUUGUCCGGAAUUAUUGGGCGUAAAGAGCUCGUAGGCGGCCGGUUGCGUCUGCUGUGAAAUCCCGGGGCUUAACCCCGGGCGUGCAGUGGAUACGGGCCGGCUGGAGGCAGGCAGGGGAGAAUGGAAUUCCCGGUGUAGCGGUGAAAUGCGCAGAUAUCGGGAGGAACACCGGUGGCGAAGGCGGUUCUCUGGGCCUGUACUGACGCUGAGGAGCGAAAGCGUGGGGAGCGAACAGG